AUUUUUUGCAAUGAUUAAGAGAAUGGCAAAGGAAAUAGAGGGGCUGGUAGAGGAAAAAGAGAUCGUACCUGUUUGAUUCUCUGGUGGUGGCUGCCCAACAAGGACUCGAGGAGACAAAGUGAAAGAGAGAAGGACGUGCGCGUAGGCCACCAUCAUCCCCGUGCAGUACCGGAAACAGGGGACACCACCUAGCAGGUGUCCCCGUGCUUCAUAGCCAAGAUCCACUGUCAAUGUCGGCCCAAAAGUGCUUAAUGGAAGUUUGAACUCUAAAGCAUCUCAUUUCUCUAACAAUGGAGCAAUGUCCACAACAGGUGCGUAAGUAAGCUGGACGUUUCCCUUUCGAUGGUAAUUUCCUCUUUCUUCAAGGUUCAUGGAAAGAGACUAUCCACAAUAACACACAUUGACUGAAGACUGGGAAGUGUUCCUGGAGAUGAUGAGACUUCAGCCAUCAGCUCCCACAACAACAGAUAUCGUGAUCAUCACAGACACAGACAAAUAAGAAAGGAUAUGCUAACGCAAACAAUGGCAGAACUUACAAGUUUUCUUCGUCGACUGAACCACCAUGAACGAUGGAAGCCGCAACAAGAGGGUCUUUGAGAAGAUUGCAUAAUCUUUCAAAGUGCUGCUUGUUUAAUAUUCUUGAAAUUACCUUUGACUCCACUGGAUUUUCACCAUAAAAUCUUCUAAUGAUCUUCUUUAGUAAUUCUAUCUAGAAGAGAACCAACAACUUACUAUUAGAAAAGUAAAAGGGUAAAUGAACAUUUUGGUUCUCAAAUGUGUAUAAAUGGAUGACUAUUUAGUAUGAAAGAAUGAAAAUUGUAAUUUAGUCUUGAA